UUGAUCAUUACUCCGUAUUGUUAUUAUUGUUGUCAAAGUUUCAAUCUUUAUGUUUGUUUCUUGUAAUUUAUACUGAAAUUUGAUUCAUUUGACUUGUUAUUGUUGAUGUCAAAG